GACGAACGCUGGCGGCGUGCUUAACACAUGCAAGUCGAGCGGAGUGGCGAACGGGUGAGUAACGCGUGAGUAACUGCCCCCCUCUCUGGGAUAACAGUUGGAAACGGCUGCUAAUACCGGAUAGUGGGGGAUGACUCGCGUCCUAUCAGCUUGUUGGUGGGGUAGUGGCCUACCAAGGAUACGACGGGUACCUGGCCUGGGAGGGCGACCGGCCACAUUGGGCUGAGAGACGGCCCAAACUACUACGGUAGGCAGCGGUGGGGAAUAUUGCACAAUGGGGAAAACCAUGAUGCAGCAACGCGCGUGCGGGAUGACAGCCUUCGGGGUGUAAAGCGCUUUCAGCCAUGAAGCGGUAGUGGCAGAAGAAGCACCGGCUAACUACGUGCCAGCCGCCGCGGUAAUUC
rnacentral:rRNA from 1 species